rnacentral:rRNA from 1 species
CGGUCUCAGUUCGGAUCGGAGUCUGCAACCCGACUCCGUGAAGCUGGAUUCGCUGGUAAUCGCGCAUCAGCCAUGGCGCGGUGAAUACGUUCCCGGGCCUUGUACACACCGCCCGUCAAGCCAUGGGAGCCGAGGGCGCCUGAAGUGCGUCGCCGCGAGGCGCGCCCUAGAGCGAAAUCGGUGACUGGGGCUAAGUCGUAACAAGGUACC